GAUGAACGCUAGCGGCAGGCUUAAUACAUGCAAGUCGAGGGGCAACAGGGGUAGCAAUACCUGCUGGCGACCGGCAAACGGGUGCGGAACACGUACAGAACCUUCCUUUAAGCGGGGGAUAGCCCAUAGAAAUGUGGAUUAAUACCCCAUAGUAAUAUUGUCUGGCAUCAGAUGGUAUUUAAAGAUUUAUCACUUAAAGAUGGCUGUGCGGCUGAUUAGGUAGUUGGUGGGGUAACGGCCCACCAAGCCAGCGAUCAGUAACUGGUGUGAGAGCACGACCAGUCACACGGGCACUGAGACACGGG
rnacentral:rRNA from 1 species